AGGAUGAACGCUGGCGGUCUGCUUAACACAUGCAAGUCGAACGGAGUAGAAAUACUUAGUGGCGGACGGGUGAGUAACGCGUGAGAAUCUACCUUCAGGACGGAGACAACAGUUGGAAACGACUGCUAACCCCCGAUGUACUGAAAAGGCAAAUAUUUAUAGCCUGAAGAAGAGCUCGCGUCCGAUUAGCUAGUUGGAGAGGUAAAAGCUCACCAAGGCGACGAUCGGUAGCUGGUCUGAGAGGACGAUCAGCCACACUGGGACUGAGACACGGCCCAGACUCCUACGGGAGGCAGCAGUGGGGAAUAUUGCGCAAUGGGCGGAAGCCUGACGCAGCGACGCCGCGUGGGGGAUGACGGCCUUCGGGUUGUAAACCUCUUUCGACCUCGACGAAGCGUAAGUGACGGUAGGGGUAGAAGAAGCACCGGCCAACUACGUGCCAGCAGCCGC
rnacentral:rRNA from 1 species